CCUCCCGACCCGAGCGGCGGCGAGCGCGCUGAGCGCGGCGUCUCGGGUCCCGCUGGGGACUCACCGCGCGGCGGGCACAUGCUGAGCGGGCCCUGCGUGGACGCUGGGCCGGCGCUGGACGCGGACUGAGGGCGCAGCAGGCACUGUAAACUCUAGGAUCUAUAGAAGGAAGCACUCCAGAUUUCUGAUGAACAAGGUCCAUCGAACCAGGCAAGCCUCCUGCUGAAGAGAGGAUAGUCAUAAUUCUGAAGAACCAAGACCAACCGUGUAUGCUGACUGCUGUCCGGCCACCUCAGGACUGCCAGGUCUGGCACAGUGACCUUGGGUCCUGGCUCUCCCUGCAAAGAAUUCAUCACUUACAGUACUGUCCACUGAAGGCCGCCGGUCAGAGCUGCUGGAACACUGAGAAGUCCAGUAGAGGAAGGCUGCUCAGGUUCACACUCAAGUUCCAGACUCCAAUAGGGCAGAAAGAGCAAGUCAGUAUGUCAUCCCCCUAGAGGUUAAUGAUAAAACUAGACAGCAUUGUCAACCGCAUCCACUUCAGGGCUCUGGAAAUCGACCAGAGGCAAACAACAAAUUGAGAAGUGUUCUUUUCAUCCAGAACUGCUGUAUUUUGGUAUGAAGAAUGGGAAGAUAUGGCAUUCUUGCCUGGCACUGUCCCCCCACCACCCCCACUCCCGUCCCAGCUCAGUCAGUGCAAAGCUUCUAGUAGAAUGCGGCGAGCCGAAAGCACCCACGGCAGGUUUGCUGCUGGACAGAGCACAACUGAGUUCCAGCAAAAGGUGAAAAACACCUCCCAGUCAUGUCGUCAGGAUCUUGGCGGCAAGUGAAUGAGGGCGGCCAGCACUUCAUUCAGCAGAGGUUGUUGUCAGGUUGGAAAAAGCAAUCUUAUGGCCAACAAGCCAGAAAUUUCAUAGAGAGAUCUGGAAAUGAGACAAUCACUGAGGAGCUUGAAAAAUUCUCUACACACCUGCCUUCUGAGAGUGUGCAGUGUGGGAGCAGAGAGGAUCCAAGUUCUCCACACAUCCCUGGCGAACUGACACAACAGACUUGCAGAGGACAUGUGGAUGGGCAUGUGGGAAUCCUACUGGGCUGAUAGAAAUGUUCUAAAGCUGGAUUGUGGUGAUGUUUGCACAACUCUGUACAUUUACCAAAAAUCACCAAUUUUAUACUCCAGAUAGGUAAAUGAUACAUCAGUAAAGCUGUUAAAAAAAAAUACUUAGGUUCUAGUGAAUGACUCUAAAGAAUGUUGCUUGGAGAAUUUUCCUUUGGUAUAUUACGGCACUGCAAAACCAACUUCUGACAGAACAAAUGAGCUAUUUUUGGUAAGAGAUAUUGGUCACCUGCAAUGAUUUCGUCAGUCCAUCAUGCACUGCAUUAGAGCUUAGAAAGCGUUAACUUUCCAAGACCAUCAAUAAGCAAGACUCACUUGAAAACUAUAUAUUUAAAGAUGAAGAUGUGUGUUCUGAGACAUCAUGUGUCAACAUUGAUUGAGCACAGAGUUUGCCACAGAGGCUAGGAGGCAUACUACUUAAAUUUGACAGCCUUCAAAGGGUUUAUACUAUUACAAUUAUAAGUUGAUUUACAAUAGUAUGUUAAAGUUAAAUAUUAUAUUACUGUUACUGGGAUAGGGCUGGUAGAAAACGAGAUGUUCUUAAAAAAAAAAAAAAAAGGCGCCUGGGUGGCUCAGUUGGUUGGGCGACUGCCUUCGGCUCAGAUAAUGAUCCUGGAGUCCCGGGAUCAAGUCCCACAUCGGGCUCCCUGCUCAGCGGGGAGUCUGCUUCUCCCUCUGACCCUCCUCCCUCUCAUGCUCUCUGUCUCUCAUUCUCUCUCUCGCAAAUAAAUAAAAUCUUAAAAAAAAGAAAAGAAAACGAGAUGUUGCCAAACACAUCUGAUAAAUUAUAAAAUAUCUUCUUCAUUCGUUACUGCAUUUAAUCCUUGUAACAAUCCUGUGGGUAUUGCCAAAAGACAGGGAAACUGAGGCUCAGAGUGAUUCAGCAGCUUGUUCAAGAUCACAUAUCUUAUGCCAAAGCUGAGAUAUGAAUCCAGGUGGCUGAUUCUCAAGCAAAUGUUGGUGAAGAUCUGGGAUAACUGUCACUCAUACCUGGUUCAUUGGGGUGUAAAUUUGUAAAAUUUCCAUGGAAGAUAACUUGGUAAUAUCUAGCAAAUGAAAACUGCAUAUAUUCUUUGUCUUUGAAAUUCCACUUCUAGGAUGUUUGUGGUUCAGUAUAAAUGGCCAUCAGUAAUGAAUUAAUUAAAUAAACCUCUGUCUAGAAAUGGAAUACUAUACAGCCAUCCAAGGAUGUGUAUCUGAAUAUACUAAUACAGAAUAAUCUGCAAGGUAUAUUAUCAAAUUAAAAAAAAGCUGUUCUCCACACUUUUUAAAAAAGAUUUUAUUUAUUUAUUUGACAGAGAGAGACAGAGAGGGAACACAAGCAGGGGGAGCGGGAGAGGGAGAAGCACGCUUCCCGCCAAGCAGGGAACCCGAUGUGGGACUCGAUCCCAGGACCCUGGGAUCAUGACCUAAGCCAAAGGCAGACGCUCAAUGACUGAGCCACCCAGGCACCCCUGUUCUCCACACUUUUUUGUAUUUUUUAAAAGGGACUGGCUACCUAAAGAGACAGGGAGUUGUGGAUACUAUCAUAAAACCAAUUAUACAAUUUUAAACUGAGGUCUGUGGUUAAUUAUUUUUAUUUUUUAAAAAUUAUUAUUAUUAUUUUGAUUUUCCAUAGCAAGAUUUUAUGCAACAAAGUGGUUAUUAAAAAGCUCUGCACAUAUAUUAAGUAUUUGUUUGUUUUAUUAUUAACAUAUAAUGUAUUGUUUCAGGCGUACAGGUCUGUGAUUCAUCAGUCUUACACAAUUCACAGCGCUCACCAUAGCACAUACCCUCCCCAAUGUCCAUCACCCAGCCACCCCAUCCCUCCCACCCCCCACCACUCCAGCAACCCUCAGUUUGUUUCCUGAGAUUAAGAGUCUCUUAUGGUUUGUCUCCCUCUCUGGUUUCUUCUUGUUUCAUUUUUUCCUCCCUUCUCCUAUGAUUCUCUGCCUUGUUUCUCAAAUUCCACAUAUCAGUGAGAUCAUAUGGUAAUUGUCUUUCUCUGACUGACUUAUUUCACUUAGCAUAAUACCCUCUAGUUCCAUCCAUGUCAUUGCAAAUGGUUAAGAUUUCAUUUUUUUGAUGGCUGCAUAAUAUUCCAUUAUAUAUAUUAUGUGGUUAAUUUUUAAAAAAUAUUUAAUUUAUUUAUUUGAGAGAAAGAGGGAGAGCAUGAGUGGGGGCCAGGGGCAGAGGGAGAGGGGGAAGCAGACCCACCCCUGAGCAGGGAGCCCGACACGGGCAUGGGGCUUGAUGCCAGGACCCUGAGAUCAUAACCUGAGCCGAAGGCAGACACUUAACCAACUAAGCCACUCAGGCGCCCCCAUGAUUAAUUUUUAACUAGUGUCUGUGGUUUCCAUAUUUACAAAUGGCAAAAUAGUGAGCUGUUGACUAGGAUAUGGGAUGGCCUCAUCGUAUAUAAGUGAGUGUUUCUAUGGUAUUAGUUAAAAGGGAUUUUUCCUAGUCUUUUAAGCUCUUCUCUUUUCUGACUUGGCCUAUCCAAAUCUUCAGAGUUAGAAGGAAACUUAGAAACUGUGUGGUUCAAUACUUAUCAACAGCAGGUCACAGCCUCCCAGUGAAUUCUGAAAUUAAAUUUGUGGGUCAAAACUAACAUUAUUUCAUCACUAAAAAUUAAAAAAAAUAAAUAAUAUAGACUAAAACCUUAUGGAUAAGGAAAUGGAGGCUCUGACAGGCCCAGUGACUUGCCCAAGAUGAGUAACAGGGCUCGAAUUUCUACUCUUGUGUCCAGACUUACAGAUUCCUUUUUUGUUUCAUCAUAUUUUAUAGAUGUUUCUGUUGCCAGGGUCACUGAAGGACUUUAAAGAGUGGAAAGGGACUUCCCUCUGGUAGUGGCAGCAGUGACUUCAAGGACUUACCCCAGAGACCUCAGAACAGAAGCAACUGCUUUUCCACUUGAACUGUUAUUUCUCUGCCUGAGGGAAUCUUCUUGACCAGUGAUCCUGCUAACCCUUAAUGGGAAGUUUGGCCUCUGGGCUUCUUUAUAGAUAUUAAAUUCACAGUGAAACCGUGUAAGAAUCCCAUUCAUUAAAAAUUUCAUUCAUACUCUCCAAGCUGAAAACAAGAAACCACAUUUUGGAUUAUAUGGAUAGCCACUCUCAGUGACCCAACUGACCAGUUGUUUCUGUUAUGAUACAUUAUUCCUGUGAAUUCCAAGGGGAUUAAUGAAAUAGAAACAUUUUCUUAUUUCACAUUUCAUGUAGAUGCUAAGGCUUUGUUGGGAGGUUACUUGGUUAUGGAGCAGGAAUAUUUCUCAGUGGAGGCUGUCAAGUUGGGCUAUGUUAAAGGACACUGGAUGUAGAAUUUGCCUGGAUUGGAAGGAUCUAGAGUUUCCACUGGCCACAAAUACAAGACCUAUCGCUGACUAGAUUCGUAACCUUGACAAGUCACUUUGCCUUUCCAGUCUUCAUUUCUCUUCUUGAAGAAAAGGUGAAGUGGCUUUUCUGUGCUGAGGGUCCAUAUGAGGGUCCACAUUGUUCUGGGUCCCCAUGGAACUUAAAGGGAAACUUCCACAAUGUUCAGAGCCCUUGGCAUCCUCCUGCGAUGGGAGGAGGAUGUCCUGUAAUUCCUUGCAGCAGGAACCCACUUAGGUGGCACCAACCCUGACUUCCAAAUGGAACAGCACAUACACAAAAGGAAAAGCGAUGGCGUAUUUCAAAUCUGGAGAGAUCUUAUGAGAAGCUUCUGCCAGCAGCUGGUGCCGUUGUUGCCAUCAAAAACCGGGCCGCUGUCAGUGUCAUAUCCGCCAGGCCCAGGGGCCCGGGGGCUGUGCUCAAGUCAGCUGCUGCCGCGGGAGCCACUCUGCUUGUGGCCGCUUGGCUCCCGGAACCUUCGCUAACCAGGGGCUGGCGGCCUGCAGGGGGCUGUGUCUCCCGGUGGUUAGGGAUCCCCGGGCUGACCACCAGCCCCUCACAGAGAGGUCUUCUGUUAACCGGCCUGCUAUCGCUUUGGGUAACCGGACUCUCCUCGGCGCUGUGUGGACGCGGCCACCCGAACAGGGCGGGGCUCGCGCAGUGGGUCGGGGGCGGGGGAUGCUGGCCCGGGAAGUUCUGCACACGCGUGGCACCAUCGCUCGUGAACCCCCAGGGGAGGCCACCCCUCAUCUCUCCGGGAAAGGCCGUGACCGAGGAGGACUUUCCGGGCGAACGGGCUGCCCCAGACCCCGAAUUUACUGCUGCUCAGCCUGAGGUCUCAGCUGGUGCGCACGUGUCCUGCAGUUCCCUACGGAAGACUGGAGCUCCCAGCCGCGGCUCAGGACUGCUCUGCAGCUCCCACUGCUCAGGCCCCUCGGUGGGUAGGAACAACCCCUGCGUGAUCCUAAGCUGCUCUUCCACAGACUCUUAAACAGAAAAUGGAUAUAAGGUUGAUGGAGAAUAAACAGUUUCCUAAAAAAAAGUAAAGGAGAAAUGGGAUCAAGUGGUCACUAAGUUUCCUUCUGAAUCUAAAACUGCCGUGAUUUUGUAAAUGACUCUACAGUGGUCCUCAUUUAAAGGACAGUUUAUCAGACAAUUAAUUAAGCAAAUAUGUAUGGAGAGCCCGUGUGUGCCUGCACUCCACCUGGAGCUGGGGAAACGGAGGACGGAGGUCACAGCGCCCGGCCCUUGCAGGCUACCGGGAGACAUGACAGCUGUGUCCCAGGGGCCGCAAUGGCCUGAGCUUUCCAUUUCUGACUCUGUCAUGAUCAUGUCCCUAGUUUGCUCACUGUAAAAUGGAGUCAAAUUCCGAUAACUUCCUGUCUAUCUCCUCUACUAGCACAAAGGACCGUCUCUUUUAUUGGUGGUUGUAUCUCCAGUAACUGGAAAAAUACCCACCACAUCGUUGGUGAUUGAUGUACAAGGUGUAAUGAUGGGGCACAGAUUUGAAGGAUAUAUUUAAAAGUGGUAGAAGAAUGAGCUCAUACAAUGGUCUUCCAACAUCAGUAUGCAAAUCCCAAGAAAGUUUACAAAGACUUUCCAUGACAUGGGCGGGGAUUGAUAGCUUUAGGGGUAUCAAUCAACUUCCACACGAACCAUUUCUCAAAGUGGAUCUGCCUGGGAACUGCUGAAAAAGUUGUCCUGCUGGGAUUUCCCCCAUCUUCCCUCUUACAAGCUUCUCUUACUCAAUAAAUUAAUGACUUUUCUCCCAGUCUUACGGAGAUGCUUUCCCCCAGGUGGUAAAAAGCACCUGAGAAGAAAUGCCUGGUGGUAUAGGGGUGGGUUUAAGACAGUAAAUGGCUCUAAUGACUGACUAAUACAUUUUUGCAAGCCAAGUGGUCUCCAAUUCUUUCGUCAACAAAAUUUAAGUAGAACCUAAUGGGUUGUCACCUGAUAGAUGGCUAAAAAUAAUUUUUCAUGGUGGAUCAAUCACAAUGUGAUUUUUGGCAUGUACUUCACAGGGAACUCACAGAAUUGAUUGACAUUGCUGUAACAAGACACCUUCCAUUUCCACCUACUUGUUUAUGAACGGGGUUUCUCAAGCUUUACAUCUAUAAAAACAAAAAUGGAAAUAGAAAUGAUGGCAAACUCUUGUCUUAUUCUGUUAAUAAGUAAUAUUCAUUGAAUACAUGAAUGAAUUGGAAAUGAAAACAAGCUCCUCUCAAUAAAAGGUGC